rnacentral:rRNA from 1 species
GAACCUGCGGAAGGAUCAUUACCGAGUGUAGGGUUCCUAGCGAGCCCAACCUCCCACCCGUGUUUACUGUACCUUAGUUGCUUCGGCGGGCCCGCCAUUCAUGGCCGCCGGGGGCUCUCAGCCCCGGGCCCGCGCCCGCCGGAGACACCACGAACUCUGUCUGAUCUAGUGAAGUCUGAGUUGAUUGUAUCGCAAUCAGUUAAAACUUUCAACAAUGGAUCUCUUGGUUCCGGCAUCGAUGAAGAACGCAGCGAAAUGCGAUAACUAGUGUGAAUUGCAGAAUUCCGUGAAUCAUCGAGUCUUUGAACGCACAUUGCGCCCCCUGGUAUUCCGGGGGGCAUGCCUGUCCGAGCGUCAUUGCUGCCCAUCAAGCACGGCUUGUGUGUUGGGUCGUCGUCCCCUCUCCGGGGGGGACGGGCCCCAAAGGCAGCGGCGGCACCGCGUCCGAUCCUCGAGCGUAUGGGGCUUUGUCACCCGCUCUGUAGGCCCGGCCGGCGCUUGCCGAACGCAAAUCAAUCUUUUUCCAGGUUGACCUCGGAUCAGGUAGGGAUACCCGCUGAACUUAAGCAUAUCAAUAAGCGGAGGAA